rnacentral:piRNA from 1 species
UCUGGAAGAGCAAGAAACCUGUC